AUGGCAAAGUCGUUCCUCGCGAUGAAGACGGGCCCGGCGGCCGGCGCGUCGGAGGCGUCGCAGGCGCUGCUGGAGUCGGACCUGCGGGAGCUGACCAUGGCGGCGCGGAAGCUCGCCAACCACGCCAUCGUCCUCGGCGGCGGCAUCGGCUUCAUCGGCACCUUCCUCCAGUGGCUCGCCUUCGCCGCCGCUGUAUAUCUCUUGGUGCUGGACAAGACCAACUGGAAGACCAACAUGCUGACGGGCCUCUUGGUCCCUUACAUUUUCUUCACCAUGCCCGGUCUGCUCUUCGGCUUCAUAAGGGGGGAGAUUGGCAGCUGGGUUGCGUUCGUUUUCGUCGUCCUGCGGCUAUUCUUUCCGCGCCACUUCCCUGAUUGGCUGGAGCUGCCUGGGUCUCUGAUCCUCCUCACGGUGGUCGCCCCCGCCAUCUUCGCGGACACCUUCCGGGGCUCCUGGCUCAUCAUCGGCGUCGGCGUGUGCCUGGUCAUCGGGUGCUACCUGCUCCACGAGCACAUCAAGGCGUCGGGGGGCCUCAAGGAGGCCUUCCAGAAGCCCAAUGGCUGGUCCAACACCAUCGGCAUCCUCCUCCUCUUCAUCUACCCGGUCUGGGCCGUCGUGAUGUGGUUCCUGUAG
rnacentral:rRNA from 1 species